rnacentral:rRNA from 1 species
AAUAGAUACCCAGGUAGUCCACCCCGUAAACGUUGGGAACUAGUUGUGGGGUCCUUUCCACGGAUUCCGUGACGCAGCUAACGCAUUAAGUUCCCCGCCUGGGGAGUACGGCCGCAAGGCUAAAACUCAAAGGAAUUGACGGGGACCCGCACAAGCGGCGGAGCAUGCGGAUUAAUUCGAUGCAACGCGAAGAACCUUACCAAGGCUUGACAUACACCAGAACACCCUAGAAAUAGGGGACUCUUUGGACACUGGUGAACAGGUGGUGCAUGGUUGUCGUCAGCUCGUGUCGUGAGAUGUUGGGUUAAGUCCCGCAACGAGCGCAACCCUCGUUCUAUGUUGCCAGCACGUAAUGGUGGGAACUCAUGGGAUACUGCCGGGGUCAACUCGGAGGAAGGUGGGGAUGACGUCAAAUCAUCAUGCCCCUUAUGUCUUGGGCUUCACGCAUGCUACAAUGGCCGGUACAAAGGGCUGCAAUACCGUGAGGUGAGCGAAUCCCAAAAAGCCGGCCUCAGUUCGGAUUGGGGUCUGCAACUCGACCCCA